UGAAGAAGAAAUCUAUGAAAAAGACCUAGGAGUUUAUGUGGAUUCAGAAAUGUCUUCAUCUAGACCAGGGGUUUUCAAUCGGGGGUACCCGUACCCCUAGAGGGUACUUCUAAGGGUCAUGGGGGGAUAAGCAAGACGACUCAGGAAUGAAAAGCACAUGUGAGGGUACACGAGGAAGUCAUGUUUUUUGGCUCAGAAGAGAUACUUGCAGAGUGGCAUUAUGUUUGGGAGCAUACAGAUUAUUAUACAACGACCCAAUACAUUGGAACAGCAAGCCAGGAGUUUGCGCGCCAAUGUAACGAUCCCCGCGGAAUUCCCAACCGGCAACACGGCACAAGAAACCUGCAUUGUGUGACUCGCCCUGCACACCACACAAUCUCAGCAGAACAGCUUGAAAUUACAUGAUAUGUUCUACAUUUAUCUGCUGAAAAUCUUUUGGUUUGUCACAAUUUAACUACAAGCUGCUGCCCCUGGUCCUGUGCUACAGGUCUCCUGGACUGACUCAACUGCAGGACACCAGUGAGGAGCCUGGAAGCAGCAACAACAUCUCAUCCAUACCUGCAUUCUCAUACCAGGCAACAAAACUCAUUUGAAGGCUUCCAUGAUAUCCUUAAAAAUUAGACAGCAUUUUAAUGAAACCAGACACUCACACUCUCACAAGCUCAAACUCAAAAGCACUCUCACACUCGAGACCACAUUUAAACUCACACUCACACAUUCAAAUAGUGACACACACACUCACACACACACACACACGACUUCUGACUUAGUUAAAAGGCACGCUAAAGAAGACUAAGUCAAAAUGUUUGUUGAUUUUUUUGUUGUCUCCUAGUUUGUAAAUAAAUGUUAGGAACU